rfam:Rattus norvegicus chromosome 9, whole genome shotgun sequence.
GUCUACGGCCAUACCACCCUGAACGCGCCCGAUCUCGUCUGAUCUCGGAAGCUAAGCAGGGUCGGGCCUGGUUAGUACUUGGAUGGGAGGAAAUGCAAGGAGACCCAGAGAACUAGGCA